rnacentral:rRNA from 1 species
UACGAAGGGGGCUAGCGUUGCUCGGAAUUACUGGGCGUAAAGGGUGCGUAGGCGGGCUAUCAAGUUGGAGGUGAAAGCCCAGGGCUCAACCUUGGAAUUGCCUUCAAAACUGAUAGCCUAGAGUGUGAUAGAGGUAAGUGGAACUCCGAGUGUAGAGGUGAAAUUCGUAGAUAUUCGGAAGAACACCAGUGGCGAAGGCGACUUACUGGAUCAUGACUGACGCUGAGGCUCGAAAGCGUGGGGAGCAAACAGG